GCUGGGCAUGGUGGCAGGUGCCUGUAGUCCCAACUACUUGGGAGGCUGAGGCAGGAGGAUUACUUGAGCCCAGGAAGUCAAGGCUGCAGUGAGCCAUGAUCGAGCCACUGCACUCCAGCCUGGGUGACAGAGUAAGAUCCUGUCUCAA
rnacentral:SRP_RNA from 1 species